AAUGCGUUGUUGUUUACACUCUUUAGCGUAGAGCUGCGUAGACGGAUCGAAGCAAGAGGAUAGAUAGGUGGCUUGGAAAAUAUAUAACUUAAACAUGCUAACUUUUUGCUUAGUCAGCAGACUUGGAAAAAGUUGUUGUUCAGAGCCUGCACUUCAGGCGGUUUUAGUAGGGCGGAAUGGGUCGCUUUGCGGCUGUUCCUUUUCGCAGUCCGUUAGGCGCCAGCUGGGAGUCCCAGGAAUGCGGACAAAAUGUCUGGCUUAAGAAGAACCUCUGCUCCUGGAAUCUCAGGUAUAGUUGGCUCCACUUUCAAGAUUCAGUGGGAGAGCAUCUGUCUUGCAUACAGAAGGCCCCAGGUUCAAUCUUCAUUUAGGCCUGGGAGAAACUCCAUGUGUGAAAUCCUGGAGAGCUGCUUCCAGUCAGUGUGUAGACUAUACUGAGCUACAUGGACCAAUUGUCUGACUCAAUAUAAGGCAGCUUGCUAUGUUCUUAUGUAAGGCAGCAGUGGAGACCAACUAUUGCAUGUUGCAUUAGUGGCCUAUCCAGGAUUCUGUUUUUGAAACACAUUGUUCCUGAAGUUUCCAUGUGGAGUGCAAGACUGCCCUGGUUAGUUACACACGGCUACCUACCUGUAACUAUGUUUAAUAAAGUUAUCCUACAUCAGUUAGAAGGUGUCCUCAUUUUCAGUUUAUUUUCAACUCCCCUUAUGUCCCGCAUUGCACGUUGUUUUUUAUACCAGAGCUAUACCCAACACCCUUUGAUACAAAACCCCAAAAGAUAUGUCUCUCUCUAAACAUAAGAUUUCUGACUACUCUGUCCAAACUAAAAUAG